CACUAAAUGUCUGAGCGUAAGUAAUGGUCUCUUAAACCAUAAACAAUAAAGUAACAAUUAUUUUUAGUG
rnacentral:tRNA from 1 species